GACGAACGCUGGCUGCGUGCUUAACACAUGCAAGUCGAACGCUGAAGCCCCAGCUUGCUGGGGUGGAUGAGUGGCGAACGGGUGAGUAACACGUGAGUAACCUGCCCCUGACUUCGGGAUAAGCCCGGGAAACUGGGUCUAAUACCGGAUACGACUAUCGGACGCAUGUCUGGUGGUGGAAAGUUUUUUCGGUUGGAGAUGGGCUCGCGGCCUAUCAGUUUGUUGGUGAGGUAAUGGCUCACCAAGACGACGACGGGUAGCCGGCCUGAGAGGGCGACCGGCCACACUGGGACUGAGACACGGCCCAGACUCCGACGGGAGGCAGCAGUGGGGAAUAUUGCACAAUGGGGGAAACCCUGAUGCAGCGACGCAGCGUGCGGGAUGACGGCCUUCGGGCUGUAAACCGCUUUCAGCAGGGAAGAAGCCUUCGGGUGACGGUACCUGCAGAAGAAGUACCGGCUAACUACGUG
rnacentral:rRNA from 1 species